AACGAACGCUGGCGGCACGCCUAACACAUGCAAGUCGAGCGAGAUCUUCGGAUCUAGCGGCGGACGGGUUAGUAACGCGUGGGAACGUACCCUUCACUACGGAAUAGUCCCGGGAAACUGGGUUUAAUACCGUAUACGCCCUUCGGGGGAAAGAAUUUCGGUGAAGGAUCGGCCCGCGUUAGAUUAGAUAGUUGGUGGGGUAAUGGCCUACCAAGUCUACGAUCUAUAGCUGGUUUGAGAGGAUGAUCAGCAACACUGGGACUGAGACACGGCCCAG
rnacentral:rRNA from 1 species